CUCUGUCCCAUAUCAAGCGGUGGUGGCCCAUUCUAACUGCACGAUCUGAUAGCCCAAAUUGGUUUGAAGCAAGAUCGAAAGGCCUGUCUUCGUUGCUAGCUGAGAACUAAACAAACAAGGCUUCAUUUUUGCAUGAUUCGAUGGAUGAAAUUUGAUCUAAUGCAAGAUCAGAUGGCAAACAGCGAUGCCGACUUUGAUAAGGCCUGAUGCGGUGAUUCUUGGCA
rnacentral:lncRNA from 1 species